rnacentral:lncRNA from 1 species
AUGGCCUUCCCUUUCCCUUUCCCUUUCCCUUUCCCUUUCCCUUUCCCUUUCCCUUUCCCUUUCCCUUCCCUAGAUACCACGGCUCCCACUGCGCCUGCUGCCCGCAGCCGCCCCCGCGCUGGCGUGGGCUCCGCGCCGCAGCAAGCACCUAGGACAGCUCCCGCCCGCGCCGCCCAUUGGUCCGGGCGCGUCACGUGCCCGUGCCAUGCCGCCGGGGGGCCGCGGCCGCUGCUGAUUCAUUGGCUGUGGCGGGGCGCGGCUCGGCUCGGCUCGGCUCGGCUGGCUUGGCGUUGCAGCUACUGCCACCGCCGCGGGGCGGCGCCCCAGCAGGCAGGAAGAUUGGGUAUUCCUCAUACAUAACCUUGAGCUGGAUCUCAAGUCCUGCACAUCUAGGAUCUUGUGAAUUGGCUAAGAAUCACAGACCAUUUGGCUAAGUAUUUCCUGCAGACUCCUUUCUCAUCUGUGCUUGGAAGUGGCACAGCUUGCUCAAAAAAGUAGCCAUAGGUUAGGGCUGUAGAAAGCUGGGAUCUGUAUAUGUUUUAGCUCAUGCAGUGCAGAGUAGUUAAGUUUGUGCUCCGUUUCUUCAUUGACUCCUUUCUCUGUGAUUUCAUUUCUUAGUCCUUGUGGUGGGGUAAAAAACAGUGCAGUGGUGACGAUGGCUGGUUCCUUUGCCCCCAGUGUGCAGAAUAUUGCUGCUAUUAUGGAGACUCAGGGUACAGGAACAGCCUGAGUUGUUAACUUCUUGUAGCCAGCAGCUUCUGGUUUAAUUGCACUGCCUAGCCCAUGGAGCUGAUGCAUCAAUCUUACUUAGCCUUAGACUCCUCACUUUGAAAUGUUGCUGCUUUCCAUUCCUGCUUGGCUUCUGUGAUCUUCACAGUUUGCAAGGGGCCAGCAGUUUGUUUAUUCUAUGAAGUCUAUCAAGCGUUCAGACUCUACAGCAGUAAGCAGAAUGGAAACAUGAAAAAUUAAUGUAAUGUUUGAUUGAAAACGUGCCUCAUUGCUUGCAUCUUCCUUACUGGUAGUUUAUUUUGCUUCGGAUAUUAACAAGUACACUGACCAGUCUAUAUAAAUUUACUGUUGUGCGUGCAGGUUGGAUUUGGAGGUGGUUGUUGCUGGUUACAUACUAGGCCAGUUCCAGAUGUGUACAAAACCAGAUUUGCCUUGGUGGCCCCAGUGGCAGCUUAAACCACGAAGCUGUGCUUCAGAUAUAAUGUGUGUCCAGUUUUUCCAUUAGAGUGCCUUGGUGUCGGCGUGGAAGGUAAGUGGUUGUGCAGAGCAGAUUUGCUGAUGAUAUCCAGAGUGAUGCAAAUAGUCCAGCUGCAGUUCAGAGAUGCAGAUUUUGUGCAGAGGUAGACCUGCA